UUAAGGGCGCACGGUGGAUGCCUUGGCACUAGAAGCCGAUGAAGGACGUUACUAACGACGAUAUGCUUUGGGGAGCUGUAAGUAAGCUUUGAUCCAGAGAUUUCCGAAUGGGGAAACCCAACAUGAGUUAUGUCAUGUUAUCGAUAUGUGAAUACAUAGCAUAUCAGAAGGCACACCCGGAGAACUGAAACAUCUUAGUACCCGGAGGAAGAGAAAGAAAAUUCGAUUCCCUUAGUAGCGGCGAGCGAAACGGGAAGAGCCCAAACCAACAAGCUUGCUUGUUGGGGUUGUAGGACACUCUAUACGGAGUUACAAAGGACGACAUUAGACGAAUCAUCUGGAAAGAUGAAUCAAAGAAGGUAAUAAUCCUGUAGUCGAAAAUGUUGUCUCUCUUGAGUGGAUCCUGAGUACGACGGAGCACGUGAAAUUCCGUCGGAAUCUGGGAGGACCAUCUCCUAAGGCUAAAUACUCUCUAGUGACCGAUAGUGAACCAGUACCGUGAGGGAAAGGUGAAAAGCACCCCGGAAGGGGAGUGAAAUAGAACCUGAAACCGUGUGCUUACAAGUAGUCAGAGCCCGUUAAUGGGUGAUGGCGUGCCUUUUGUAGAAUGAACCGGCGAGUUACGAUUUGAUGCAAGGUUAAGCAGUAAAUGUGGAGCCGUAGCGAAAGCGAGUCUGAAUAGGGCGUUUAGUAUUUGGUCGUAGACCCGAAACCAGGUGAUCUACCCUUGGUCAGGUUGAAGUUCAGGUAACACUGAAUGGAGGACCGAACCGACUUACGUUGAAAAGUGAGCGGAUGAACUGAGGGUAGCGGAGAAAUUCCAAUCGAACCUGGAGAUAGCUGGUUCUCUCCGAAAUAGCUUUAGGGCUAGCCUCAAGUGAUGAUUAUUGGAGGUAGAGCACUGUUUGGACGAGGGGCCCCUCUCGGGUUACCGAAUUCAGACAAACUCCGAAUGCCAAUUAAUUUAACUUGGGAGUCAGAACAUGGGUGAUAAGGUCCGUGUUCGAAAGGGAAACAGCCCAGACCACCAGCUAAGGUCCCAAAAUAUAUGUUAAGUGGAAAAGGAUGUGGCGUUGCCCAGACAACUAGGAUGUUGGCUUAGAAGCAGCCAUCAUUUAAAGAGUGCGUAAUAGCUCACUAGUCGAGUGACACUGCGCCGAAAAUGUACCGGGGCUAAACAUAUUACCGAAGCUGUGGAUUGUCCUUUGGACAAUGGUAGGAGAGCGUUCUAAGGGCGUUGAAGCAUGAUCGUAAGGACAUGUGGAGCGCUUAGAAGUGAGAAUGCCGGUGUGAGUAGCGAAAGACGGGUGAGAAUCCCGUCCACCGAUUGACUAAGGUUUCCAGAGGAAGGCUCGUCCGCUCUGGGUUAGUCGGGUCCUAAGCUGAGGCCGACAGGCGUAGGCGAUGGAUAACAGGUUGAUAUUCCUGUACCACCUAUAAUCGUUUUAAUCGAUGGGGGGACGCAGUAGGAUAGGCGAAGCGUGCGAUUGGAUUGCACGUCUAAGCAGUAAGGCUGAGUAUUAGGCAAAUCCGGUACUCAUUAAGGCUGAGCUGUGAUGGGGAGAAGACAUUGUGUCUUCGAGUCGUUGAUUUCACACUGCCGAGAAAAGCCUCUAGAUAGAAAAUAGGUGCCCGUACCGCAAACCGACACAGGUAGUCAAGAUGAGAAUUCUAAGGUGAGCGAGCGAACUCUCGUUAAGGAACUCGGCAAAAUGACCCCGUAACUUCGGGAGAAGGGGUGCUCUUUAGGGUUAACGCCCAGAAGAGCCGCAGUGAAUAGGCCCAAGCGACUGUUUAUCAAAAACACAGGUCUCUGCUAAACCGUAAGGUGAUGUAUAGGGGCUGACGCCUGCCCGGUGCUGGAAGGUUAAGAGGAGUGGUUAGCUUCUGCGAAGCUACGAAUCGAAGCCCCAGUAAACGGCGGCCGUAACUAUAACGGUCCUAAGGUAGCGAAAUUCCUUGUCGGGUAAGUUCCGACCCGCACGAAAGGCGUAACGAUUUGGGCACUGUCUCAACGAGAGACUCGGUGAAAUCAUAGUACCUGUGAAGAUGCAGGUUACCCGCGACAGGACGGAAAGACCCCGUGGAGCUUUACUGUAGCCUGAUAUUGAAAUUCGGCACAGCUUGUACAGGAUAGGUAGGAGCCUUUGAAACGUGAGCGCUAGCUUACGUGGAGGCGCUGGUGGGAUACUACCCUAGCUGUGUUGGCUUUCUAACCCGCACCACUUAUCGUGGUGGGAGACAGUGUCAGGCGGGCAGUUUGACUGGGGCGGUCGCCUCCUAAAAGGUAACGGAGGCGCUCAAAGGUUCCCUCAGAAUGGUUGGAAAUCAUUCAUAGAGUGUAAAGGCAUAAGGGAGCUUGACUGCGAGACCUACAAGUCGAGCAGGGUCGAAAGACGGACUUAGUGAUCCGGUGGUUCCGCAUGGAAGGGCCAUCGCUCAACGGAUAAAAGCUACCCCGGGGAUAACAGGCUUAUCUCCCCCAAGAGUUCACAUCGACGGGGAGGUUUGGCACCUCGAUGUCGGCUCAUCGCAUCCUGGGGCUGUAGUCGGUCCCAAGGGUUGGGCUGUUCGCCCAUUAAAGCGGUACGCGAGCUGGGUUCAGAACGUCGUGAGACAGUUCGGUCCCUAUCCGUCGUGGGCGUAGGAAAUUUGAGAGGAGCUGUCCUUAGUACGAGAGGACCGGGAUGGACAUACCUCUGGUGUACCAGUUGUCGUGCCAACGGCAUAGCUGGGUAGCUAUGUGUGGACGGGAUAAGUGCUGAAAGCAUCUAAGCAUGAAGCCCCCCUCAAGAUGAGAUUUCCCAACUUCGGUUAUAAGAUCCCUCAAAGAUGAUGAGGUUAAUAGGUUCGAGGUGGAAGCAUGGUGACAUGUGGAGCUGACGAAUACUAAUCGAUCGAAGACUUAAUC
rnacentral:rRNA from 2 species